rnacentral:rRNA from 1 species
CAGCCGCCGCGGUAAUACGUAGGGUGCAAGCGUUAAUCGGAAUUACUGGGCGUAAAGCGUGCGCAGGCGGUUUCGUAAGACAGACGUGAAAUCCCCGGGCUUAACCUGGGAACUGCAUUUGUGACUGCGAGGCUAGAGUGUGUCAGAGGGGGGUGGAAUUCCACGUGUAGCAGUGAAAUGCGUAGAUAUGUGGAGGAACACCGAUGGCGAAGGCAGCCCCCUGGGAUAACACUGACGCUCAUGCACGAAUGCGUGGGGAGCUAACAGGAUUAGAUACCCCUGUAGUCCCUGUCUCUUAUAU